rnacentral:sRNA from 1 species
UAGCUAGUUCUGCUGUUGCUUCACGAGUUCUGAGCAUUCUCUGCUAGCCUAUGGAAGCUGCAGCCCUCGGAGGACAGAAGUGUUGUGCGCCCAACAGAACCCUCUGAGACGCAAGCUGCUCCCUUGGCUAGCUCAUAUGUGGAAAUAGCCCUGUAAUUCGAGGUAACUCCUUCCGCUCGUGUCCACAUCCCUCUUGUCAAGAGCUCAUUGAAAGUCAUGUGCCCGGGGAAUGUUCCUGUGACUGUUUUUUGUUUUUCCUUUUUUUUUUUUUUUUAACUUUUUUUUCAAUUAAGCUGGAACGAAAGUCAGGCCCGGCCAUUACGCUCCCCACGUGUAGCCAGGUGCAGCCUGGGCCCAGUCAUGCCUGGCUCAUAGUUGAGGUCCCUUAAGCAGGAUUGGAGACCAGUGAACGCCCCCGCCUUUUGGAUUUUUUGCUUAUCAAUUGACCGUCUUUUCCAGACCUCUUUAAGUCAUACUCUUAGCUUUCUCUGAUGUCUGUUGCCAUUAGUUUUUUUCUAGAGCCCACGCUGGCUCACGUAGCUCCAUCCCAUGCGGGUAGCUGGCCCCGGCUGCGCCAAGGUGCAGACCCGCCCUGGGCAUGCUGGCCUGUGACGGAGCCUGAGGUCACAGCCCCCUGACUAGCCUGAGACCUUCCUAGGGGCUGUGGCUGUUUCCGGGGAGGCCGGGAGGGGCAGCUGUGAGCCCCGUGGAGGACGUCGGGAGUAACGCUGCUUUGCUUUGGCAGGUUGAAGGGGCCCGGCCAGGACUCGGGGAAGGGUGGCCUGAGAGCAGCGAUGACCUCUGGGGUCACUGUCCCAGGAGGGACUUCACCUGGAACAAGAGCUGGAGGCAGCCGCUUGCCCCGGAGGCUUGUCCCCUGAGGCGCUUCGCCAGUGAGGUGCGGGCUCAGGGUCUCGAGUCUCUCCUGGAGCACGGGCUGCGGUGCGCUGGCAGCUUAGGGGGCGGCCAGUCCUUGCCCACAACGAUGUGGAGCCCUGUGAAAGUCGGAUUCGAAUAAAGGGCCACGUGUGCACCC